rnacentral:rRNA from 1 species
UACGUAGGGUGCAAGCGUUGUCCGGAAUUAUUGGGCGUAAAGAGCUCGUAGGCGGUCUGUCGCGUCUGCUGUGAAAACUCAGGGUUUAACCCUGAGCUUGCAGUGGGUACGGGCAGACUAGAGUGCGGUAGGGGAGACUGGAAUUCCUGGUGUAGCGGUGAAAUGCGCAGAUAUCAGGAGGAACACCGGUGGCGAAGGCGGGUCUCUGGGCCGUAACUGACGCUGAGGAGCGAAAGCAUGGGGAGCGAACAGG